rnacentral:tRNA from 1 species
UCAUAGCUCAGUUGGUAAAGAAUCUGCCUGCAAUGCAGGAGACCCAGGUUCGAUUCUUGGGUUGUGAA